GCCGCUCUUAUGAUUGCACGA
rnacentral:miRNA from 1 species